CCUCACAAUCCGUCUUUUGCCGUUUCACCACUUCCACCUCUUGGUUUCCUUCGUUAUUGAUCACUGACGCAGAAGAGUUAACACUCUUUCACCGUCUUAGUAUGAUCUGAAGACAACGCUGAGUGACAGUCCCGGGUUGUCAAAAAAGAAGACCGGGAAGAGGGGCGGCAGCUUCUAUAUUGCUACACUUUCGUCCAAGUUUCGAAGGAAUUCCGUCUCCCAAGUGAAUCAUCAUGACCAAAUCGAGCGCUGGCGCUCUUUGCGUCGUCCAUAUCCUUCUCCUCUUUUCGCUUGUAUCACUUCAGACCUGGAGACCAGCCAACGCACAAGAUACCGGCAGUGGUGGUUCUGAAAAUACUACUUUACUGCCAACAACAAUGUCACCAACAGUGAAUAGCACGUCGCCAAUGACAGAGCCAGAAAGCACAGCUACUGGAAAUGCAAGUACUGGAGAAACAGCUUCAUCAGCAACAACCAUGGUGUCGAGCACUACCCUGUCGCCAAGCAUACUACCAACAAAUACCACGCCAACA